GUUUGUGAAUCGACAGCAAUCAUGAAGGUGUUGGCAUUAUUGAUCCUCGUAGCUGUGGUCUGCGUGGCUAUCGAAGCCAAGCCAAGUCCUCAGUUCCAGAGUGGUCCUGGUGCCUGGCGCGCAUCUAUAAGAGAAAUGCUCAGAGCCCCCCCCGGCUCCCUCGAUGAAACACAGCCAGGGUCAAACCAGCCGCAAGGGGGCCCAUAUAACGACGGCAGAGUCCCAUUAUUCGACAAGAAAUGAUAACCAGCGGCAGUGGCGGCAGUGGCGGCACAACCGAGACGUCCCACA